CUACGUGCCAGCAGCCGCGGUAAUACGUAGGUCCCGAGCGUUGUCCGGAUUUAUUGGGCGUAAAGCGAGCGCAGGCGGUUAGAUAAGUCUGAAGUUAAAGGCUGUGGCUUAACCAUAGUACGCUUUGGAAACUGUUUAACUUGAGUGCAAGAGGGGAGAGUGGAAUUCCAUGUGUAGCGGUGAAAUGCGUAGAUAUAUGGAGGAACACCGGUGGCGAAAGCGGCUCUCUGGCUUGUAACUGACGCUGAGGCUCGAAAGCGUGGGGAGCAAACAGGAUUAGAUACCCUGGUAGUCCACGCCGUAAACGAUGAGUGCUAGGUGUUAGACCCUUUCCGGGGUUUAGUGCCGUAGCUAACGCAUUAAGCACUCCGCCUGGGGAGUACGACCGCAAGGUUGAAACUCAAAGGAAUUGACGGGGGCCCGCACAAGCGGUGGAGCAUGUGGUUUAAUUCGAUGCAACGCGAAGAACCUUACCUACUCUUGACAUCCAGAGAACAUUC
rnacentral:rRNA from 1 species